rnacentral:rRNA from 1 species
UACGUAGGGGGCAAGCGUUGUCCGGAAUCAUUGGGCGUAAAGAGCGUGUAGGCGGCUUCGUCAGUCCGUUGUGAAAGUCCAGGGCUCAACCCUGGAAUGCCGAUGGAUACUGCGGAGCUAGAGUACGGAAGAGGCGAGUGGAAUUCCUGGUGUAGCGGUGAAAUGCGCAGAUAUCAGGAGGAACACCUAUGGCGAAGGCAGCUCGCUGGGACGUUACUGACGCUGAGGCGCGAAAGCGUGGGGAGCAAACAGG